rnacentral:rRNA from 1 species
GAUGAACGCUGGCGGCGUGCCUAAUACAUGCAAGUCGAGCGAACAGACGAGGAGCUUGCUCCUCUGACGUUAGCGGCGGCCGGGUGAGUAACACGUGGAUAACCUACCUAUAAGACUGGGACAACUUCGGGAAACCGGAGCUAUUACCGGAUAAUAUAUUGAACCGCAUGGUUCAAUAGUGAAAGACGGUUUUGCUGUCACUUAUAGAUGGAUCCGCGCCGCAUUAGCUAGUUGGUAAGGUAACGGCUUACCAAGGCAACGAUGCGUAGCCGACCUGAGAGGGUGAUCGGCCACACUGGAACUGAGACACGGUCCAGACUCCUACGGGAGGCAGCAGUAGGGAAUCGUCCGCAAUGGGCGAAAGCCUGACGGAACAACGCCGCGUGAGUGAUGAAGGUCUUCGGAUCGUAAAACUCUGUUAUUAGGGAAGAACAAAUGUGUAAGUAACUAUGCACGUCUUGACGGUACCUAAUCAGAAAGCCACGGCUAACUACGUG